rnacentral:rRNA from 1 species
UGCCAGACUCCUACGGGAGGCAGCAGUGGGGAAUAUUGCACAAUGGGGGAAACCCUGAUGCAGCGACGCCGCGUGAAGGACGAAGUAUUUCGGUACGUAAACUUCUAUCAGCAGGGAAGAAAAUGACGGUACCUGACCAAGAAGCCCCGGCUAACUACGUGCCAGCAGCCGCGGUAAUACGUAGGGGGCAAGCGUUAUCCGGAUUUACUGGGUGUAAAGGGAGCGUAGACGGCCAUGCAAGUCUGAUGUGAAAACCCGGGGCUCAACCCCGGGACUGCUUUGGAAACUGUAUAACUGGAGUGCAGGAGAGGUAAGUGGAAUUCCUAGUGUAGCGGUGAAAUGCGUAGAUAUUAGGAGGAACACCAGUGGCGAAGGCGGCUUACUGGACUGUAACUGACGUUGAGGCUCGAAAGCGUGGGGAGCAAACAGGAUUAGAUACCCCGGUAGCU